UGCAAGCGUUAAUCGGAAUUACUGGGCGUAAAGCGCACGCAGGCGGUUUGUUAAGUCAGAUGUGAAAUCCCCGCGCUUAACGUGGGAACUGCAUUUGAAACUGGCAAGCUAGAGUCUUGUAGAGGGGGGUAGAAUUCCAGGUGUAGCGGUGAAAUGCGUAGAGAUCUGGAGGAAUACCGGUGGCGAAGGCGGCCCCCUGGACAAAGACUGACGCUCAGGUGCGAAAGCGUGGGGAGCAAGCAGGAUUAGAUACCCUGGUAGUCCACGCUGUAAACGAUGUCGACUUGGAGGUUGUGCCCUUGAGGCGUGGCUUCCGGAGCUAACGCGUUAAGUCGACCGCCUGGGGAGUACGGCCGCAAGGUUAAAACUCAAAUGAAUUGACGGGGCCCGCACAAGCGGUGGAGCAUGUGGUUUAAUUCGAUGCAACGCGAAGAACCUUACCUACUCUUGACAUCCACGGAAUUCGCCAGAGAUGGCUUAGUGCCUUCGGGAACCGUGAGAUAGGUGCUGCAUGGCUGUCGUCAGCUCGUGUUGUGAAAUGUUGGGUUAAGUCCCGCAACGAGCGCAACCCUUAUCCUUUGUUGCCAGCACGUAGUGGUGGGAACUCAAAGGAGACUGCCGGUGAUAAACCGGAGGAAGGUGGGGAUGACGUCAAGUCAUCAUGGCCCUUACGAGUAGGGCUACACACGUGCUACAAUGGCAUAUACAAAGAGAAGCGAACUCGCGAGAGCAAGCGGACCUCAUAAAGUAUGUCGUAGUCCGGAUUGGAGUCUGCAACUCGACUCCAUGAAGUCGGAAUCGCUAGUAAUCGUAGAUCAGAAUGCUACGGUGAAUACGUUCCCGGGCCUUGUACACACCGCCCGUCACACCAUGGGAGUGGGUUGCAAAAGAAGUAGGUAGCUUAACCUUCGGGAGGGCGCUUACCACUUUGUGAUUCAUGACUGGGGUGAAGUCGUA
rnacentral:rRNA from 1 species